GGCCCCAUCGUCUAGCCCGGCCCAGGACGCAUGGUUCUCAGCCAUGAGACACCGGUUCAAAUCCGGUUGGGGCUA
rnacentral:tRNA from 1 species